rnacentral:rRNA from 1 species
AGAACGAACGCUGGCGGCGUGCCUAACACAUGCAAGUCGAACGCGCUCCAUUCGGUAGCAAUACUGAUGAAGAGCGAGUGGCGAACGGGUGAGUAGCACGUGAGCAACCUGCCCCGAAGACCGGGACAACACCGGGAAACCGGUGCUAAUACCGGAUAUCCCUAUCGGACCGCAUGAUCUGAUAAGGAAAUGGAUUCCGCUUCGGGAGGGGCUCGCGGCCUAUCAGCUAGUUGGUGAGGUAACGGCCCACCAAGGCAUCGACGGGUAGCUGGUCUGAGAGGACGGUCAGCCACACUGGGACUGAGACACGGCCCAGACUCCUACGGGAGGCAGCAGUGGGGAAUCUUGCGCAAUGGGCGAAAGCCUGACGCAGCAACGCCGCGUGGAGGACGAAGGCUUUCUGAGUUGUAAACUCCUUUCAGCAGGGACGAUAGUGACGGUACCUGCAGAAGAAGCACCGGCAACUACGUGCCAGCAGCCG